rnacentral:rRNA from 1 species
AUUGAACGCUGGCGGCAUGCCUUACACAUGCAAGUCGAACGGUAACAGGUUAAGCUGACGAGUGGCGAACGGGUGAGUAAUGUAUCGGAACGUGCCCAGUCGUGGGGGGUAACUGCUCGAAAGAGCAGCUAAUACCGCAUACGACCUGAGGGUGAAAGCGGGGGAUCGCAAGACCUCGCGCGAUUGGAGCGGCCGAUAUCAGAUUAGCUAGUUGGCGGGGUAAAAGCCCACCAAGGCAACGAUCUGUAGCUGGUCUGAGAGGACGACCAGCCACACUGGGACUGAGACACGGCCCAGACUCCUACGGGAGGCAGCAGUGGGGAAUUUUGGACAAUGGACGCAAGUCUGAUCCAGCCAUGCCGCGUGCGGGAAGAAGGCCUUCGGGUUGUAAACCGCUUUUGUCAGGGAAGAAAAGGUUCUGGUUAAUACCUGGGACUCAUGACGGUACCUGAAGAAUAAGCACCGGCUAACUACGUGCCAGCCGCCGUAACAC